rnacentral:rRNA from 1 species
AGAAGAAGCACCGGCUAACUCCGUGCCAGCAGCCGCGGUAAUACGGAGGGUGCGAGCGUUAAUCGGAAUUACUGGGCGUAAAGCGCACGCAGGCGGUCUGUCAAGUCGGAUGUGAAAUCCCCGGGCUCAACCUGGGAACUGCAUUCGAAACUGGCAGGCUUGAGUCUUGUAGAGGGGGGUAGAAUUCCAGGUGUAGCGGUGAAAUGCGUAGAGAUCUGGAGGAAUACCGGUGGCGAAGGCGGCCCCCUGGACAAAGACUGACGCUCAGGUGCGAAAGCGUGGGGAGCAAACAGGAUUAGAUACCCUGGUAGUCCACGCCGUAAACGAUGUCUACUUGGAGGUUGUGCCCUUGAGGCGUGGCUUCCGGAGCUAACGCGUUAAGUAGACCGCCUGGGGAGUACGGCCGCAAGGUUAAAACUCAAAUGAAUUGACGGGGGCCCGCACAAGCGGUGGAGCAUGUGGUUUAAUUCGAUGCAACGCGAAGAACCUUACCUGGUCUUGACAUCCACGGAAGUUUUCAGAGAUGAGAAUGUGCCUUCGGGAACCGUGAGACAGGUGCUGCAUGGCUGUCGUCAGCUCGUGUUGUGAAAUGUUGGGUUAAGUCCCGCAACGAGCGCAAC